rnacentral:rRNA from 1 species
UUAAUUUAAUAAGGGCGCAUGGCGGAUGCCUUGGCAUUAGAAGACGAUGAAGGACGCGACAAACAGCGAUAUGCUUCGGGGAGCAGUAAGUACGCUUCGAUCCGGAGAUCUCCGAAUGAGGAAACUCACUAGUGGUAAUGCACUAGUAUCAUUAACUGAAUACAUAGGUUAAUGAGGACAACCCAGUGAACUGAAACAUCUUAGUAACUGGAGGAAAAGAAAGAAAAAUCGAUUACCUUAGUAGUGGCGAGCGAAACGGUAACAGCCCAAACCAGUCUUAGGACUGGGGUUGUAGGACACUAAGCAUGGAGUUACAAAAUUAUACUAUAGUUGAAGCUUCUGGAAAGAAGUCCCAUAGUAGGUGAUAGGCCUGUAAACGAAAUGGUGUAAUCUCCUUAGUGUAUCCUGAGUAAGUCGGGACACGUGAAAUCUUGACUGAAUCUGCGGGGACCAUCCCGUAAGGCUAAAUACUCUCUAAUGACCGAUAGUGAACAAGUACCGUGAGGGAAAGGUGAAAAGAACCCCGGAAGGGGAGUGAAAUAGAAUACUGAAACCGUGUGCUUACAAAAAGUUCGAGCCCGUUAAUGGGUGAGAGCGUGCCUUUUGCAGAAUGAACCGGCGAGUUAUGGUAUCGUGCAAGGUUAAGCGGAAAACGUGGAGCCGAAGCGAAAGCGAGUCUUAAUAGGGCGCGAGUACGAUGCUAUAGACCCGAAACCAAGCGAUCUAUUCAUGAGCAGGUUGAAGUAAGGGUGAAACCUUAUGGAGGACCGAACCAACUUCUGAUGCAAUAGGAGUGGAUGACUUGUGAAUAGCGGAGAAAUUCCAGUCGAGCUUGGAAAUAGCUGGUUCUCCCCGAAAUAGGUUUAGGCCUAGCCUUCUAAUUAGCUACCUGGAGGUAAAGCACUGAAUAUGGAAGGGCCGCACCUAGCGGUACUAACUGUAAUCAAACUCUGAAUGCCAGGAUAGUAUGUAGAGGAGUCAGUGUAUGGGUGAUAACGUCCAUACGCGAAAGGAAAUGAAUCCAGACCGUCAGUUAAGGUCCCAAAAUUUAUGCUAAGUGGAAAACGAUGUGGAGCUGCUAGAACAGCUAGGAGGUUGGCUCAGAAGCAGCCACCCUUUAAAGAGUGCGUAAUAGCUCACUAGUCGAGUGGCUCUGCGCGGAAUAUGUACCGGGGCUAAGCAUAAUACCGAAACUGCGGAUUCGUAAUUUAUUACGAAUGGUAGGGGAGCGUUCUAUGGGCGCUGAAGGUAGACCGUGAGGACUACUGGAGCGCAUAGAAGUGAGAAUGCCGGUGUGAGUAACGUAAGGAGGGUGAGAAUCCCUCCCACCGAUCGACUAAGGUUUCCUGGGUAAAGUUCGUCUCCCCAGGGUAAGUCGGGACCUAAGGCGAGGCCGAAAGGCGUAGUCGAUGGACAACAGGUUUAUAUUCCUGUACCACCUAUAUGACUGAUGGAGUGACGGAGAAAGCUAAGCAGGGCCGGUUAUUGGAUUCCGGUCUAAGCACAAAGGUAGAUGAAAUAAGAAAAUCUGUUCAUUGUUAUGCUGAAGUGUGAUGGCGACGAAUUCCUCGGAAUUUUAAGUCUGCUGACGCUAUGCUUCCAAGAAAAGCUUCUAAAGAUAUUAUAUAGGUGCCCGUACCAAGAACCGACACAGGUGGUCAAGGAGAGUAUCCUAAGGUGAGCGAGAGAACUAUGGUUAAGGAACUCGGCAAAAUAACCCCGUAACUUCGGGAGAAGGGGAGGUUUCUUCGGAAACCCGCAGGAAAUAGGUCCAGGCAACUGUUUAGCAAAAACACAGGUCUCUGCUAAAGCGUAAGCUGAUGUAUAGGGGCUGACGCCUGCCCAGUGCUGGAAGGUUAAGAGGAGAUGUUAGCUGGACGUAAGUCAAUAACAGCAAAGCUUCGAAUUGAAGCCCCAGUGAACGGCGGCCGUAACUAUAACGGUCCUAAGGUAGCGAAAUUCCUUGUCAGGUAAGUUCUGACCCGCACGAAAGGCGUAAUGAUCUGGAUACUGUCUCAACCAUAGACUCGGUGAAAUCUUAAUACCUGUGAAAAUGCAGGUUACCCGCGACAGGACGGAAAGACCCCAUGGAGCUUUACUGUAGCUUGAUAUUGGAUCUUGAUGUGUUAUGUAGAGGAUAGGUGGGAGACUAUGAUGUUAGGACGCUAGUUCUAACGGAGUCAACCUUGGAAUACCACCCUUAACAUGUUGAGAUUCUAACCUCGACCCAUUAUCUGGGUCAGGGACAGUGUCUGGUGGGCAGUUUGACUGGGGCGGUCGCCUCCCAAAAAGUAACGGAGGCGCUCAAAGGUUCCCUCAGAAUGGUUGGAAAUCAUUCGAAGAGCGUAAUGGUAUAAGGGAGCUUUACUGCGAGACCUACAAGUCAAGCAGUUACGAAAGUAGGACAUAGUGGGCCGGCGAUUCAGAAUGGAAUGGUCGUCGCUUAACGGAUAAAAGUUACCCUGGGGAUAACAGGCUGAUACCACCCAAUAGUUCACAUAGACGGUGGUGAUUGGCACCUCGAUGUCGGCUCGUCACAUCCUGGAGCUGGAUUCGGUUCCAAGGGUUGGGCUGUUCGCCCAUUAAAGUGGCACGCGAGCUGGGUUCAGAACGUCGUGAGACAGUUCGGUCCCUAUCCGUCGUGGGCGCAGGAAAAUUGAGAAGAGCUAUCCUUAGUACGAGAGGACCGGGAUGGACAUACCUCUGGUGUAUCUGUUGUAACGCCAGUUGCAGUGCAGAGUAGCUAUGUAUGGAAUCGAUAACCGCUGAAAGCAUCUAAGCGGGAAGCGAACUUCAAGAUGAAUUUUCCCAUAUUUUUAUAAUAGUAAGAUCCCUGAAAGACUAUCAGGUUGAUAGGCUGGAGAUGGAAGUGUAGUGAUACAUUGAGUUGACCAGUACUAAUAGAUCGAGGAUUUAACCAU